GAUGAACGCUGGCGGCGUGCCUAAUACAUGCAAGUCGAGCGAACAGACGAGGAGCUUGCUCCUUUGACGUUAGCGGCGGACGGGUGAGUAAAACGUGGGUAACCUACCUAUAAGACUGGGAUAACUUCGGGAAACCGGAGCUAAUACCGGAUAAUAUUUCGAACCGCAUGGUUCGAUAGUGAAAGAUGGCUUUGCUAUCACUUAUAGAUGGACCUGCGCCGUAUUAGCUAGUUGGUAAGGUAACGGCUUACCAAGGCAACGAUCCGUAGCCGACCUGAGAGGGUGAUCGGCCACACUGGAACUGAGACACGGUCCAGACUCCUACGGGAGGCAGCAGUAGGGAAUCUUCCGCAAUGGGCGAAAGCCUGACGGAGCAACGCCGCGUGAGUGAUGAAGGUCUUCGGAUCGUAAAACUCUGUUAUUAGGGAAGAACAACCGUGUAAGUAACUGCGCACGUCUUGACGGUACCUAAUCAGAAAGCCACGGCUAACUACGUG
rnacentral:rRNA from 1 species